GGGACCGAGCGGGACCCCGAACCAAGGGACAGUCGCAGUUUGGGCCCCUUGAAUUUUACUUUCAAGUAAUGGGAAACUGAGGAGGCGGGCGCUUUCCCCAGCGUUUUUAGGGGCCCACUAAGUAAGGCCUAGCGGGAGCCAGAUUUUACAAUCUGGGACGGUAAAUCCCUUGGGGCAGGGCCGGAGACGGGAGCCGCUAGAGCUGGUCACAAAGCAGGGAACGCAAACUCAGCCUGCUGGAAGCCAGGCACGAGUUUGCGAACUACUACUGGAUUCUUUUUCCCACCAAGCCCAAGGGCUGCGACACUUGGGAUUAAUGCCCAAUGGAUCAUUCCUAGGAAACGGCCGACCUGACUAUUCGGCCCAUUUUCAAACCUCUAACCAUAGACUCUCAUCUUUCUCCCACAACAGAAAAAAAAAGCCUCUGGCGACGCCUGGGAGCGCGACGGAGGCGCAAGAGCUCUAACCGCGCGAGGUGAAAACUCCGACUGCGUCAGAGCCGCCCCGCCCCGCCUGGGGCCCACCUUCCGCCGCCCCUCCGAGCUGCGGCGAAAACCCGGAGAGCGGCUAGGCCGGGGUCGGAGCCCGCGCAUGCCCAGUAGCCCCACGUGGUGCAAGUCGCCUGAAGGAAGGUUUUCCUCUGCUCCCCGAGCGAAGCCCCAGCGCCCAAGUUAGGAUGGACAGCGGGGAGAGCUGGCCUUCCCGCCCCGAUGCCCGCCGUCCCUGGCCGGCCCGCGCCGCACCUCGGUGGCCUACAGGCAGCCCGAGGCCGUGCCUCCCGCGGGGUCGGGGACUUGGCGAGCGGGGGAAGGGGCGCGGCUACGGGCCCGGCGUACCACGUGACUGUCCGCGGCGCUCCGGGCAGCCAUCUUCCGCCCGGCCAUCGGGCCGCGGGCGCUCGGAACCGACCUGGGAGCUGGCGGGACCGUCCUCCCCCGCCACGCCCUCCCAUCGGGCUUUGGGCGCCGGACUCUGGCCACCGCUCGGCACCUGCCUCCGCCUCGCCUUGGGGUAUAGGAGUCCUGUACCGACCCCUGGCUUGCCCAGAGGACAGGUUCUCGCCCGGGCCAGAAGCAAACUGCGGCGAAAUCGAGACAACAGAACUCAGAGUCACUCUGUCACCCAGGCUGGAGUGCAGUGGCACCAUCACAGCUCCCUGCAGCCUUGACUUACAGGGCUCCAGUGAUCCUCCACCCUCAGCCUCCUGAGUAUCUGAGACCACAGGUGCAAGCCACCAUGCCCAGGUCUCUUUCACCCUCUAGCAUACAUCUUACUAAGGCAUCUAAAGUACUUACUACUUCGUACUCAUGGGAUCCAAUGAUGCUCACAUAAUGUCAUCAAUAGAGUGGACCAGUGUGAUGUUUUGUGGAAUGUCAGAACAAUCAAGAUCACUUCAGACUAUUAUGGCAGUGAGCAAGAGAACUAAUGGAGCCCGUGGCAACACUGGGAAGACAUAUUGUUGGCCCUGUUGGGUAACAGCAAAUCACUUCUGAUGGACCUUGCAAAUUGGUAUGGAGGAAAAGGCAUUAGCCAGGUAAAUAAGUGCAUACCAAAUGUCAGAUCUGCCCCAGGUGCAUACCAAUGUGUUAAUCUGCCCCAGUAAAGGUACUACUUCUGGGAGAGCAGCUGAAAUUGGAGUCCCCAUCUGAUUACAUUUAUGACAUUCCACAGUCAUUCUUCAAGAUCCAUUUGUCUUCUGCACAGUCUAAACUGGGGAAUUAAAUGGGAGAUACUAUAGGUAUCACUACCAACCACCUGUAGUCAAAGUUCAAAUAGUGCUCUGGAAGCAAGGAGACUUUUGUUUCUAUCCAUGGAAAUUUGUCUCAAUGUGAUCCAGAGCCACGUAGCCUGAAUAACAGGAGCAAGACCUUAGGAGCCCCUGCUUAGCUCUUUAAACUCUUCUGGCCAACCUGGGUUCCAAACCAAGGCUAACCAAAAAAGCUAGUCGAAGACAACAAAGGUCAUUCCAAGUAUUGGCCCCGAGGCUUAGAUCUGAUAAUACUCAACAUUCUGUGCUCAUUCCUGUGUACCUGGCUAGGAUUCCUGGCUUCAAUAACUGCUUGGCUUCUAUUCAUUGACAAAAAACUUGGAAUUUAUUUGAAGAUACCAGGGUAGAUCAGGGAUGCAGCUGAGCCUCGGGAUGAGAUGGAAACCAGGAACUGGAGUAUUGAAAGGAACCCAGAAAGUCUCCCUCUGUCUCCUCUGCAUUUCUAUUUAUUCUCUCCCUGUGGUUUCUGGCUUUUUUCCUUCAGUUCCAUGAAAUGACCACUUGAGAGCUCCCAAGUUUUUAAUCUCUUCCAGAGAGUAACAAGAACAACCCUACCUAUAUUCAUUAACCCUCUUGUCUAGUUGAAUCCUAUUUCCCCAGAUUCCCACUGGCCACUUAAUCUUACUAAUAUUUCAAGGUCCAUCUCCAAUUUCACCUUUUUUUGUAUACAAAUGUUCAUAACAGCUUUAUUUAUAACAGCCCCAAACUGGAAACAACCCAAGUGUUCAUCGGUAGGUCAAUGGACAAAUCUGUUCAAUGAAGUGGUACUCAGCAAUGAAAAACACAAAAACAAAAACUCUUGACAAAUGCUACCACAUGGAUGGAUCUCAAAAUAAUUAUACUGAGUAAAAUAAGGCUGACCAAAAAACGGAUACAUAUUGUAUGAUUCAAUUUACAUAGAAUUCUAGGACAUGCAAACUAAUAAUGGGGCAAAAGGGCACUUGGGGAUGAUGGGUCUGAUUUUCACCUUGAUCGCAGUGAUAGUUUUACGCAGGGUAUACAUAUGCCAACACACUGUACACUUUAGAUAUGUGCAGUUUAUCAGCGGUCAAGUAUACCUCAGUAAAGCUAAAAUAAAAAUAUUAAUGGGCUCCACAUUCUGGAGACACUGGCAGUAGAACUAUUAUUUUCAGCUUGAAAUAUUAGCUACACUUUGGUAAAAAUACUUUUGAAUUUUAUCUUCACAGUUGUAGCAAGGAAACCAAAAGGUAUAAACAUUCACUGAUUGAAAAACAAUGUCAUAAAGUCAUCCCAGUAUCUGUGAGGAGUUGGUUCCAGGACCCCUGAGGACACCAAAAUCCUCAGAUGCUCAAGUCCCUGAUAAAAAAAUAAAAGCAGUGGUGCCCUCGGGUUCAAAAACCUGAACGGUGGUCUUCAGUUGUUCCCCCAAGCUCCUCUAUCAGAGGCCCAGACACUCCAAGAGGCUGGGAAGAGGCAAGUGGCUUUCCCUGACUGGCAUCAGACUCCUGGAUGGCUGUGUUUCUGCAUACUCCACCAUCAACAAUCAGAAGGGCACUGCUUUCUUCAAGAAGGGGACCUUGCAAAGAACUGUCUCAGAUGGACUAUCUUUGAGUUCAUCUUGUUCUGAAUGUGAGUCUGAGUCUUUGUUUCCAGAUGACACAGUGCUGUCUGAGUCCUCUGAAUCACCUGCCUCAGAGCUGCAGCAAAGUUUCUGCUGCCCAGAAACUGAAUGGGCUGCUUGUAAUGCAGAUUCUUCCUCCUGGACAAGAAGUGCUGCUGCUUCUAGUUCUUCCAGUUCUAACCCCAACUGGGCCUUUGUAAGGGAGACUUCCUUUAAGGCUUCUGCAAGAGCUGCCAACGUUUUGGAUUUGACUUUCUGAGUCCACACACAGUAGUAUGAGAUGUAGAGAUCAUUCAGUAUGUAUGCUGGGUCGUUUUCCUGAAAAAUUUUGUGAAUAUCCAGGAGACACUUUAAAACUGCACUUUUACUUAAUUGCAGUAUCUUUAUAGUCUCCCCGUAGGCCUUCAUCGCCAGUUUGAAAUGGCGAUAGAGCAGGUAACACAAUACCCUUCUUCCAAAAGACACCAUGAUAUCAUGAACAUUAGUCCAAGUCUCAAACCAGCAUAGUAUUGGACUCAAGUUUCGUGAUAUUCCAUGCAGAUUCAACGUUCUUGUCUCCUUCAGUGACACGGGUUUCUUAGCAAUAUGCCAGAAGGAUAUCAAUCGAACUGUAGUACACUUGACGACAGGCUCUGUUGUCUAGCAGAUAAGAUUUAUUGACAAAUUCUUGUAGCUGAUAUUUCUCUUCUUCAGAAAAAGACACUAAUGCAGCAUGAUUUUCUUGCUUCUGACUCUUUUCCAAAAAGGCCGUCAUUUUUUAAUAUUUGUCAGUCCACCAAGGAUUAUACUUCAAAAUCUGUUCAACUGCCUCAUCUUCAAAAAAGUCAGCUAGAUAAUGAUCAGGAUCAAACUUGGCCAGCUCGGCGGCCAGGUGCUUUUGUUUUCGUUCUGCUGCAGGGAUGAAAUCUGGAUCCUUAAUAACAUCACUCAAUUCAUCCUGUAACUGCUGAAACACUCCUGAUCGUAAGUUUCCAAACCCAUAGUGGCAUGAGGAUUCAAAGCACUUUCUGUUACCUCUUCAUAGGGUGUCUGCUCAAUUUCCCAAUCAAACUCUUCAUCGUCAACUACUUCCUCAGGAAUUUCAGAAUCACCUAUUGCUUCCACAAGUGGUUUUGCUGUCCCGGAUUUUCCUGGUGCCAGAAGAGCAACACAUGUUCAGCCCCUCAAAAUGCUGGCCAGGGGUUUCUCUGGGCAGGCGAGUGGUAAAAAUUCCUUUAUCUGCAUCAUAGGACCCUUGCUCGCUUCCGUAUCCAUAUUCUACAAUUCUUCCAGGAGGGGUUAAUCUGAGAAAGUACGGCUUGGCAUAGUAGUCUAGGCCGACCCCUCGAAGUAGACGUUGAACUCGGAGGCCGGGGCAUAGGGCACGCGGAUGGCGAUGGUCAGGAAAUCCGGCUCCUGGCUGAGGCUGAACGCCGGGGUCAGCAUCGCGGCACCAGACGCAGGGGCCAGCGCGGCUCGCCCUCGCUGCCGCGGCGGUCCCACCAAGCAACUCUCUCCAAUUUUACCUUUUUAAAAUAAAAGAUGUCUGGGCCAGGCGCAGUGGCUCACGCUUGUAAUCCCAGCACUUUGGGAAGCCGAGGCGGGUGGAUCCUGACCUGAGGUCAGGAGUUCAAGAUCAGCCCCGCCGACAUGACGAAACUCCGUCUCUACUAAAAAUACAAACAUCAGCCGGACGUGGUGGUGGGCGCCUGUAAUCCCCACUACUCGGGAGGCUGAGGCAGGAGAAUCACUUGAACCCGGGAGGCAGAGGUUGCAAUGAGCCGAGAUCAUGCCACUGUACUCCAGCCUGGGUGACAGAGUGAGACUCUGUCUCAAAAAAAAAAAAAAAAAAAAAAAAAAAAGUCUGUCUUCCAGGACACAGAAGCCUCCUAUACACACAUUUUGGCACUUGAUUAUGUUAUGUCUUUUACAGUUCUCUGCAUGUUUCUUGCAGGUAAGUCUUGAUUCUUCAAUUACAUAUUAAAUUUCUAUUGAGGAUAUAUAUCUAGCUUUCAUCUUUCAGAGUACCUAGCAUAGGACUUGGCACCAAGUAGCCCAUAGUAAACAGUUAUUCAACCAUAAUGUAUGAUUUUCUUUUCUACUUUUCACUGGUAUGUUUUUGUUUAAAAAGGGUAAACCACCAGGGAUGGAAAUGUCCUUGCUAUGUUAUCCUUCUUCUCUAAUUAGCAACCACCCUUCACAAUCUGCCACAUUACAUUUAAAAAGGAUUUUCAAAUUAGACAUUUAUGCCUGGGCAUUAACCAGGGACUGAUGAAUCAGUGCCAUCAGCAGAACACUGCCCUGACUGGCAGACAUGGCACCAUUGUCAAGACUUGUAAUUUACUCCUGGCUUUUCAAAUAGUCAGUGUGUAACUCCAGGCAAGGUUUAAUUAUCUCCUGUUAAAAUGGGAAUAAUAUGACCCACCCCCACUUUGCUUCCCAUGGGUAUCAUGAGAAUUAAUUAAUUAUUGAAUAAGAAUAUAUGUCUAUAAAAUAUUUUAUAGUUCAUUAGAGGUAAACAAAUGCAAACGUAAGAUAUUGUUCAAUGUAUUAUGAAUGUUCAUUGUUGCUGUAUUUAGUACAAAGUACCUGUAUUAUAUCAACAGUGGUAGUACACAAAAUAAUGAAUACAUGUUGGGUCAGCACCUCCUCCAAUUACCACUUGCAAACAAGUCCUGGAUGGCCAGAACUAAUUGGAAGGUUGAGACAAAAAUUAUAUCUCGCACACUAAAGAAGGGGAGAUUGAUACAGCGCGCUCACCUAAAUUUCGUAGUGCCUUCAUGAACUCUUCAAAAGCUUCAAAUCUAGGCUAGGCUACAGGAAGAACAGCAGCAACUGAAGACUGGCACCUUUUCUGGAACCUCAGCAGCACCUUCCUUGUUUCGUAAGAUUUCGAAGAAGCAUAUCAAAAUUCUUCCACCCAUUCCUUCACAGUAUAAUAGGAGAAAACAUCUAUCCUCCGUUGACACCUGGAAGAAUGAGAUUCCAACUCACUCCAGGACAUGGCCAGAAAAAUUCAACAAAAGAUUUGCUAAAUCCUCUGCACUAUUAUCUAGACCAGGAUUUCUCAACCUCAGCUCUGUGGACAUUUGGGCCAGAUAAUUCUUUGUUACCAGAGGCUGUCCUGUACAUCAUCAGGUGUUUAGCAGCAUUCCUGGCCUCAACCAAAUGGAUGCCAGUAGCACCUCCCCCACCCACUUGUGACAGCCAAAGAUAUCUCCAGACAUUGCCAAAUGUCCCCUGUUAUGGAGAAUCAUCCUCAGUUGAGAAUCACUGGUUUAGGCAAUGAUCAAAGUGGGGCAACUAAAUCAAAAGGCACUGCAAUCUUAAGUUGAUCAAGCAUCCUUCUUUGAAAUCACUCAGCACUUUCAUAUAUUGCAUUUAUAUCUUAGGUAUUCAUAUUCUAACAAUUCAGCCAAUGUUUUUUGAGUUCGCAAUGGACAAGGUACAAGAUCAAGUAAGUAAUUCUGUGUAUCCAUAAAACAGAAAUGGAUAUGGUAUGUCCCAGUUCUCCACAGUAGGCAUUUAUGUUAUUCCCAUCCCAAUAUUUAGCCCUGAUCAGGGUUGUCAAACAUUGCAUGGGACAUACUUAUCCUAAAAAAUUAUUCAUUAUUUAUCUGAAAUUGAAAUUUAACUGGAUGUCCUAUGUGUGUGCAUGUGUAUGUUUGUUUGUUUGUUUCUUUUUCUAAAUCUGAUUACCCUAUCCUAACAGACUCAAGGUUUUUUCCCUGUUCCACAAACUUUAUGACUUGACUUCAUUAAAAAUAAUAAAGAGGAAUAACUGCAAAGGCUUUAAAAAUGCUGUUAGAAUGAGUAGCACAACUGAAUUUGAGGAUACAUUUUCUUUGAAGGAUGUCUAUUUUCCUACUGAAAAUAGUGGCAAACUCCUUAGAACUCAUUCAAAGCCUGAUGGGAUUCAUUGCCUGAUUUAUUUAAAAACACUUCUGAUGCUCACAGACUAUUUAUCAUUUACACAGCAAAUGAUGUUCUUCUAGUAUUCUUGUUGGGUGAGUUAGCAUUGUGGAAGGACAUAGAGGAGAAUCAGACACAAACUUCUUAUAACCUCAUAAACAGGAAGAAAGGGAGCAGAAGCAUAGACUGACUUUACUUUCACUCAGCUUACCUUCCUAGUUCUCCAGGUGUGGUCCUCAGAAGAGGAAUAUCAUGUGACCUGGGAACUUGCUAGAAAUGCACAUCCUUGGGACCCACCCCGGACCUACUGAAUCAGAAACUCUGAGAGUGGGUCCUAGCAACCAGUGUUUUCACAGGCCUUCCAGGUGAUUCUUCCGCAUGUUCGAGUUUGAGAACAACUGCUUUAGAGCCCUGGUUCUUGACCCUGGCUACAGGGUAAAACACCUGGGGAGUUUUUAAAAUACUGAUGCAUGGGGUCCAUUCCAAGGGAGUCUGAUAUAAUUACUAUGGGGUGCAGCCCAGGCGUAAACAUUUUUUAAAAACUCCUCAACCAGAAUAACGGCUCUACAGAAAUUUUAUCAAAUGCCAAAGAAAGAGUUCCUUAUUUUGCAACUAUAGUGCUUUCUACUCUGGCCCUAAUCAACUUUCAUAAAGGCAGAAUGGACAGACAUUACGUGUUUUAAUUUGAAGACUACCAAAAGGCCGGCCAUUAAACUAGGUAUAUGGGCUCGUCCUCAAAUCCCUAAAUCUACUCCUUAGGACCUACUAUAGCCAGUGUCAUAUAAUAGAAAAGUCACUUAUUGUCCACCAGACCCUGCCCUAAUAUUUGAUAACCUCUUGGGGCCUCAUUUUCUUGUGUCUACACUGGGGAUGAUAUUAACUCUUCACAGGAUUUGGGGAAUUAUAAAGAAAGACCAUGUAGUAAAGGCAGGAAGAUCAAUAAUCAAUAAUCACAUCAGAACCUGAAGGGACUUCGUACCAUUGAAGUGAGGCAGAGGAGAGAGAAAUUUAGAAGGACAAAUUCACAAAUUUCAAUGUGUUUCUAUAAUAACUACUUAAAUUAUUUUCUCUUUGAAUUGCCUCACUGUUGUGUGUGUAUGUCCCCACUCCCACCUGUCCCAUUAUUUUCCUGUUUUCACUUGUACCUUGGCAACCCAUCUGUGGUUUUGGCCAAGCUGUUUUAAUGGCAUUGAACCUGGUAGUUUUUUUAAAAGAGUGUGGUAGUAGUUAUAUAUGGCUCGAUAACUCCUGGGGCUACAACAAGGUUAAUGCGACAGUUUUUGUUGUUUAAAAAACAUGCUUGUCUGACAAGUCAAUCAUUUUAAGCCCCUUGUUCACUUCAGGAUGGUUGCUAAAGGCUUCUCUGUGAGCUAAAAGCUCUCGCUGUUAAGGGGCUGCCUGCCCUGACUGUAUGCAUUAAAUGGAACAGUUCUCUACAUGGUUUCUUACUACAGAUGCCUUGGGAUAUAUGGACACUGGCAUUACCUGCUGCAACAGGUCCUCUCCCAGGGUACUGCUGAGACCUAAGGGCUUAAAUGCUCACCAAACCAAGUGACCUUGGAGGGCUGGUCAUGGUGGGCAUCUGGGAGCUGGGAAAGAGCAUUGGAGAACUUCAUAGGGAAACCUAGUAGGCAAAAAUGAAAGAACCCAUAAGGGCCAUUGGCAUGAGCCAUAGCUAAAGGCCACUGGGUUAGCUCUCAAAGAAAACUGCAAGAUUGAAGCAUAAAUUCCUUCAUCAUGAACCAGAAGUCAUGGAGUGGAGCCAGGGGCAAGAAAGAGAAAGAUGAAGAGGUAGAACCACCAGGAUAAAGGUGCCAAGAAAAACAGUGAGAGCAACACUCAGGGAACCAGAGACAGGAACACAGCUGGGAACUAGGAGGAGAAACCACCACAGCUGGAGCGCAAAGUGGCCAGGUCAGAAAAGCCUCAUGGAAUCCUGGUUAACUGAAUGUUUCUAUUGACUGAGGCCACUGCUUAAGCCCUGUAUUCUUUUUUAUUUCAAUCCCCAUGGUUAGAAAAAUAGUCCUAAAAUGGGUUCAUACCCUUUCCUAUCCUGCAAGAUCUUAAACAUCACUAUCUUUUCCUGCAGUAGUUAAAAGCAUGGGCUUUGGAAUCAGAAACUGGGCACAAAUCUGAGCCCUGCUACUUAUUAACUGUGUAACAUUGGUCAAAUGAAUAAACUUCCUGGAGCCUCAGUUUCCUUGCCUGUAAAAUGUGAGUAACAAUACCAACUUAUUUUCAGGUUGUGAGCAUUUCUCCAUAAUAAUCCACAUAAAACACUUACCAGAGCCCUUGGCAUACUGUGUGAGCAUGUAAUAAUGUUAGCUGUCAUUCCAAGACAACAUGUUGGAAUAAUCUACUUUUUCCAUCACUAUAUAUCUCAUUUUCCUUCUUUUUCUUCUCCCUCAAACCUGUCCCCAUUCCAACAGAUGUUUUGGCCUGUGUUCCUAGCCUCCAGUGACAGCAGAAAGCCUGUUAGAUUUCCUGCCUUUGUUUCCCAAAAUUUGAGCCCCAAGAAACUGGGACAAGAUAUUUUCCUGAGACAAGAUAUCUCAGGAAGGGGAAUGAGUGGAGCUUCUUUUCACCCCACACUAGAAAGCCAUUCUGUUUAGAAAAAGGAGACGGAAGGGAAAGAAAAGGGUGCUAUACCAGUUUUCCAGUAUCACCGUCAGGGAGAAAGCAAGGCCGGAGAGUAUCUGGGCAGAUGUAACUAUAAGCAGCCUAAUAAAGGUUCCCAAGUCCAAACCAUGAAUCCAAACGGCAGAGCUGCCAGACAUGAAAGGCCUUGCUGCCCUUCCACCCCACAAUACUUCACCUCUGGAAGCCUUGACAAUUCCAGGGAGUAUUUGCAAAACCCUGCCCCCACCCAAAAUUUUUAAAAUACUGCAUAUGAGUGAGUAAAAUGAUGCCGAGAUUUUUAAAAGGACAAGCUUACCAUCAGAUAGGUAGAAUGAGUAGUAGUGGCAGCGGUGGUGGUAGUGAUAUAGAGAUAAAAGAGUUAAGUGGAGUUACUGAAAUGUGUAGUUAUAUUUCUCACACUCUGGUGUUUGUGGAUUUGUGGGCUGAGAUUCUUAUCAAAUUCCGGAACUUGCAAUGUCUCAAGGUAAUUGUUUAAAAUAUUAAUUGUUUUACUCACACUGCAAAUGUUGAUAUAGAUGCUGGGGUGGAGGUGGGGCAAUAGGCCAGAAUAAGCCCAAGAAUACCUUGGAAUUUGCUGAAUUUCUUUCUUUUUGCAUAAUCUUAUUCACACAUUAACAUAAUAUGAACCACUCUGGCUCCAUGAGCAGCACAGAAGAGACUUUCUGCAAAUGUGAUUAUUAGGGCAAAAGUUAGGAGAUUUUUUGCCCCCAGCUUUUCUCCUCUCCUAAAAUCUUUUUUUUUUUUUCAUUUCUUUGUCAGUGUCUUUAAUUUUUUUAGCUGCAUUUAAAAGGCUUUCUAUUAUUUCUGCAUGAGUAAGAGCAUGUGUCAUGUCAGCCUCCUUGUCAGCUUCUGUUUCACUUUCAUUAAAUUUGUUGAUUGAGUGUAAAGAAGGAGGCACUGUCAUCAUUUCCAGAUUUCAUAGCUGUAGGUUAGAUCUCUCUCGGAGCAAUGCCAUGAUUACUGCUGCAAUUUUGUAAUGGAGCCCUGGAGAGACAGGGAUGAAACCAGGGAAGGCUCCUUAUCCCUUUCGUGGGUCCAGGGAGGCAGAAAGAGAGGGGAGGAGGAUGUUUCUGUUUCACCUCUAUUCAUUCAUUCAUUCAUUUGCUUCACAAAUAUUGAGCACCUCCUGAGUGACAGACACUGAUUUGGGUGCUGGAAAGCAUAAGCAGCCCUGGUGCCUGUCCUCACAGAGCCUAUGGUCUGCUGGUGAGACGGACUUAAUCAGAUAAACACACUAAUGAAUGUAUAGUUGCACCAACAGAUCCUCAUUUAAUUGAGCUGGACUAGGACCUAGGCAUCAGUAUUUUUUUUAUAAGCUUCAUAGGUAACUCUGCCAGGCCUGGGAAUCACUGGGCUAGACCAUGCAAGUUCUAAUCAUAUAGGCUCUACUCAAGCAUUAAGCAUUUUGAUUUUAUCUUUCAAGCUGUGGUGAAAACGUUACUGAAGAGAGGUGAUAUAGUAAGAUGCUCACGGUUUUUAAAAUUAAGCUUUUUUAUUUUGAAAUAAUUAUAGACUCAUAUGCAGUUGUAAGAAAUAAUACAGGGGAAUCCCAUAUAUCCUUUAUCCAGUUUCCCCAAUGGUAACAUCUUGCAAAACUAUGGUACAAUAUCACAACCAGGAUAUUGACCUUGGUGCAGUCAAGAUAAAGCAUUUUCAACACCACAUGAAUCCCUCCUGUUGUCCUUGGAUAGCCCUCCCCACUUUACUCCUGGUGACCACUAAUAUGUUCUCCAUUUCUAUAAUCUUGUCUUUUCAACAGUUAUAUAAGUGGAAUCAUAUAGUAUAGAACCUCAUGGGAUUGGCUGUUUUCUCUCAGCAUCAUUUUCUGGACAUUCAUUCAGGUUGUUUCACGUGUCAAUAGUUUGUUCCUUUUUAGAGGGCUGACUAGCGGUGUUCCAUGUAUAGGGGUGCCAUAGUUUGUUUAACCAUUCACAUGUUGAAGGACAUCUGGGUCUGCUCCAAUGUUCAGAGAUUUUAAAUAGAGCUGCUAUACACAUUUGUGUAUAGGUUUUUGUGUGAACAUGAAGUCUUUGUUUCUCUGGGAUACAUGCCCAAGUGUGCAAUUGCUGAGUUAUAUGAUAGUUGCAUGUAGAAACUAUCAUGCAUAAAGAAACUGUCAAACUAUUUCCAGAGUAUCUGCACCAUUUUACAUUCUCAACAGUAAUGUACCAGUGAUCCAGUUUCUCCUCAUUCUCAUCAGAAUUUAAUGUUGCCACUGUUUUUUAUUUCAGCCAUUCUGAUAGGUAUGUGGUAAUUGCUUGUUGUGGUUUGCUUUGAGUUUCUCUAAUGGCCAACGAUGCUGAACAUCUUUUCAUGUGCUUAGUUGCCAUCUGUAUAUUACCUUUGGUGAAGUGUCUCUUCAUGUCUUUGGCCUAUUUUCUAAUUGGAUUAUUAGCCUUAAUGUUGAGUUUUGAGAGUUUACUUUUAUAUUCCAAAUACUAGUCCCUUUUGUCAAAUAUGGGGUUUGCAAUUUUUUUCCCACUCUCCAAUUUGUUUUUUAUCCUGUUUACAGGGUCUUUCACAGAGCAAAGUUUUUUAAUUGUGAUGCAGUCUAAUUUAUCAGCUUUUCCUUUUAUGGACCAUAUUUUUGGUGUCGAGUCUAAGUCGUCUUUGCUGAGUCCUACAUCAUGAAGAUUUUUUCUUACUAAAAUUUGAUAGUUUUAAAUGUUCUCUAUUUAAGUCCGUGAGUUAUUUUGAGUUAAUUUUUGCAUAAGGUAUAAAUCUUAGGUUGAGGCUCACUUUUUAAUCUUAAGGAUUGCUCAGCAUCAUUUAUUGAAAAGGCUAUCUUCCCUCCAUUGAAUUUCUUUUGUACCUGUGUCAAAACAUCAGUUGCAUAUAUUUGUGUGUAUCAAUUUCUGGGUCUUCUGUUCUGUUCAGUGGAUCUAUGUGUCUAUUUCUCUGCCAAUACCAUAUAGUUUUGACUAUAGUAGCUGUAUAAUAAGUCUUGAAACCCUUGAAACCAGGUAAGACUGGUCCCUUUCAUAUUAGCCUUCCUUUUCAAAAUUGUUUUAGCUAUUCUAGUUCCUUUGCUUUUCUGUAUACAUUGUAGAAUAGUGUUGUCUAUAUCUAUUUUUAAAACUUGCUGGAAUUUUUUUUUAAGAGACAGAGUCUUGCACUGUUGGCCAGGUUGGAGUACAGGGGUAUGAUCAUAGCUCACUACAGCACCAAACUCCUGGGCUCUAGCAAUCUUCCUGCCUCAGUCUCCCAAGUAGGUAGAACUACAUGCAACUGCCACUACAAUCGUAUUUAAAAGUAAAGUUAAAAAAAUUUUUUUUGAGAGAAGAUCUCACUCUGUUGACUAGUCUGGUCUUGAACACCUAGCCUCCAGCAAUCCUCUUGCCUCCCAAAGCACUGGAAUUGCAAGAGUGAGCUACCAGGCCCAACCAGUAUGUUAUGUGUGCAGUUUUUUGUAGAUAUUAUUUAUUAUGUUGAGGAAACUCCCCUCUAUUGCCAUUUUUCUGAUAGUUUUUAAGAUCAUUCAUGGGUGUUGAAGUUUGUCAGAGUCUUUCUGUAUCCAUUGAUUGUUAUGAUCAAGAAUUUUUUCUUUAGCCUGUUAAUACGAUGUAUUAAAUAGCUUCAUUUUCAACUACUGAGCCAGCCUGAAAUAAACCUCGCUUGGUCAUGAUAUAUUAUUACAUAUGCUGCUGAAUUCUAUUUUCUCUUUUACUGGUCUUUUGGCUGGAGAGAGUAGGCUUUUGUUGGGGCUUUACUUGUACGUGCACAUUGUUAUUUCUGGGUUGUCAGCCUCCUUCUCUCCAAGUCUGGGAUAUAUGGGACAAAAACAUAAUCCAGGGAGCCCACCACCUUGUUAGACUUUGAGUCCCUAGAUCCCUAGGUGGUCUGGCUUCUUUUUUUCACCUUUGAAAAUCUUAUGUUUGUUUUAUACAUAAUGUUGAGAGUUUUUCGUUGUUCUUAGUGGCAGAAGUAUAGAAAGAUACUCCAUCUUCUCAAAAAUAGAAGUUCAGAUUAUGUUUUGAAAGGCACUGUAGGCAGGCCAGGGAAGGCUUGUAAAAGGCUACUGCACUGGUCCAGGUGAGGGGAGUUAGUCUGGUAGAAGGCUGUUUCUUCCACCAUUCUCCCCUCACAUUCCACUGCCCCAUUUGCAUGGAGCUGGGGUUCUACUACCCCAGUAGGGCAGCAAGAGAGAAGGAGCAGGCAAUAUCUUGGAGCAUUACACCAUGAUAAAGGGACACCAAUACCCUCCAGAUGCUAGCUGUUUCUUUCUAGAGCUUUUAAACAUUCUCCUUCAGCAGAAGAAAUAAGUCACUCCUGAAAGCAUCCUAACAAUGUGCAUUUCUCCAAAGUUUCCUUAACACUUCACAUUUAACAUGACUCCAGGUAUAAGCAACAUUAAACAAGUCAUAUCUUAUGUUACAACUUGAGUGAAACUUUAAUGAUGCUGAAUUUGCUAAUUUGCUCUGGUAUAAUGUAUUUCCUGUUUAUAAUCCCUUUUGGCUAAUAGCACUAAUCAACAGAAAACACUGACAGACUGCACAAUGGCAACAGUAAUUCUGGACAGAGAUAGUUUUAUUAUCUACAGAUGAAUCCAUGUUUCUAAAACAUUAUUUACUAUAAUGUAAAAUAUGGGUUGGGCGUGGUGGCUCACACCUGUAAUCUCAGCACUUUGGGAGGCUGAGGCGGGCAGAUCACCUGAGGUCAGCAGUUCAAGCCUAGCCUGGCCAACAUGGUGAAACCCCAUCUCUACUAAAAAUACAAAAAUUAGCCAAGUGCAGUGGUGCAUGCUUGUAAUCCCAGCUACUUGGGGGGCUGAGGUAGGAGGAUUGAUUGAACCUGGGAGGCAGAGGUUGCAGUGAGCCGAGAUCAUACCACUGCACUCCAACCUGGGCAACAGAAGGAGACUCUAUCUCAAAAAAUAAAAAUAAAAAUAAAAAUAAAAUGUAGUAGAUAAAGGUCAUAAUUUCUAUGCACCAAAGCUUUUAUAGGAGGCCUGUAUUUUAGCAAUCAACCUGUCCUUAUUCUGUUCAAAUUCAAGGGCACUUGAAUCACUUUAGAUGGUGUCACCUACAUUGGGAAGCAAUCACAGUAUAGAUAUUUUUUCUUAUUAUGUUUGCAAAAUAAACUUCACAAAAUUGUCUAGCAACCUUGUGACCACUUGUUUUCUUUUAUUGAACAUAAUAAUCCUUUUAAC
rnacentral:lncRNA from 1 species